GUAAUUUGUUGUUAUUAAAAAAAUCAAAAAAACUUUCCUCUCAUUUGUUAAUUAGAUGCUGACAUCAUCGUCAAAAUUCAUAAAAGUUAAUAAAUUCAAAAUGUUUCAAUAGGGGAAAUUUAUAGCUAAUUCAUUAAUAGCUACCCCUAGUUGAAAUUGAAUAAGCAUAAGCUCAAGGAGCAGAACAAUACAGUAAUUUUAUUAAUGUAACAUAUUGGGAAACUAUUGUUCUGCUUCUUAAGUUUGUGUUUGUUCAGUUUGGACAUUUAUAGCAGAUUGUUAUUAAUAUUUGAUAAAUUCAGUUACUAGUUACUGCCCCUAGUUAAGUUUAUAUAGUAUUGAAAUCCACUAAUGUUCAAAUUUAUCUGUAUCACUAGAACAUUGACUGAAAAUAUUUUGCAUUGAAGUGAAUAUCUUGUUAUUUAUUAUUGUUUAAGCUGAAGUUUUAUGGAUCACAUUAUUUCUAUCUUAGGUUAUUCUUCUGAUUUAAUGGAAUGUGUUAUAAACAAUCAUUAAGAACUAUCUACGAGAGAUACUAUGCUUUACCAGAUUGAUGCCUGACAUCAAUCCUAUCUAUUGAGAGACUCGACAUUAUCAUCAAGUUUAUUAAUGAUUAGUGAAACAUAUUUUCACUUAACAACAUUCAAUAAGCAUAAUAAUAUAAUAGUAGAACGUGUAGUUAAUAUUAUAGAACAAAAUAUUGCUUUUCUAUAAGAUUUAUAGAAUAGCCUCUUAUUUUAUUACUAAGCAAUUGAUGAAUAAAGGAUGAUUUAAUAAUAUAUUCCAUAUUUGAUAUGGAAUAAUCUUUGGAAGUAUCUUUGUGUACAUGUUUUAGUUUUUAAAUAAAAAAAAAAUCUGCAUUAUAAAUUAUAAUAAAUAUUAUAAAUAAGCAGUGUAUUAUACAUUCCCUCUUAGAUAUAUGUUUAAUAUGAUGAAAUUUGAAUAUGCCAACAAAGAUGUGAUCAAUGUCAUCAGAAAUUAACUCCCAGGAAAGUUAUGCAAGACAGAAUAGUCAGAGGCACAAUAGACUUAAGUUACAUCCAUCCAUACAUUUUAGAUAGAUCAAUCUCAAGUAGAAAAUUGAAUAACCUGAAUACUGAUGAGUAUAAAAAAAAAUUCUUGAAAGAUGACAACUAAGAAGCAAUAGUUAUGGUGAUUAUCCUUAGUGAAGGACCUUCCACAGGCAACAAUAGUGGCACUAACAGCAAACUCAUAAAAGUACUGUGCAAAAGACAGUGGUACAUCAUUUCAGAUCAUAGAUUUUUUUAAGCUAACAUACAAUAAGACAGCUCAAUAGGAAAUGAGAUACAUUGCAGGAAAAUGAAAUCACCAGGUGAGAAGGUACUCUGUGAGUUACUGACAAAAAGAAGUUAACUAUGGGUAGCUCUGUUCUUUAUGAAGUAACUAAAUUAAAACUAAUAGAAUAUUCAGUAGUUGAAUCAUAUAUAGAAGCAAAAUAAGUCAAAAACUGUACAACAUGAACAAUUAAAAUAGGAAAUGUGAAUAAUAUGACUAAAAGAAAGAUUGAAAUAGUAAAUCAAGAAAUAAACUGAUUAAAUAUUAUGAUCCUUGGAGUAAAUUAAAAUUAACUAGAAUUGAAUAUUUUCAUCCAAUCAAAAUUAUAAUUUGCUAUGUUCAUAAUGACAAUUAAAGAAAAAAUAGUGAUAAACGUGACUGCUAGAGGGCUUCUGAGUGUAUUAAUUGAAAAAAUAAUGUUUGUUUCACAUUUCCUAACUACUAAAUCAAAUAGAGCCCAUAAUGCAAUGCCUGGUUGGAUAAUUUCAAUCAAACCUUAUGAAAUGAUUAUAAUCUUAAAAUUAUUGAAGUGUAUGUAUCAUCUACAAAUACUGAACAAGAAGAAAUUAUAAGUUUUAUGCUAAUGUAAAAAACAAAAUUGAUAAUAAUGGAAAAGUAAUAAAAACUGUUGAAAAAUUUAUUCUUACUUCAUAAUGAUAUAAAUAAUAUAUUGCAUAGUUUUUUGAAGUUAACAAGUUUUUAUUGCAAAUAUAUGCUUCAGACAUCCAAAUAGGAGACUAUGUAGCUGUCACUAAAUGGAUAAUUAAGAAUCAAAUAGAUUAUAGGCACUCAGAAUUAAGCAGUCUCAAUUGCACAAUUAUAGAUUUAAACACAACUUUCCAAAAAUAAAUAAAUAGUAAAAUUAUAAUAAUUUUUAAAAUAAUAAAAUUCCAAAUUUUAAAUAUGAAAUUUAAUGAUUUUUAGUAAUGCUAUGAUUACUAACAUUGCUGAUAGUUGACUUUUAAUAAUAUUUUAUCAUCAUAACAAUCAGUAUACAUUUGAAAUAAAAUAUUUAAUUACUUCUGUAUUAAUGUUAAAUAUUUCCUUCUUUCAUAUUGCCUAGAACCAAAUAUGAUUGAAGCAACCAAAUAUGGUUGCUGAGUCAACAAGAUGGCAUUAAUUUUUUUCAACUUCAUUUUCGUUUUUGAGAAAAGAAAGUUGUAGGUAUUCAAGUUUAGAGCACAAGGUGAAUGAGAAGAUAUAACAAAAUUCCUAGCAAAAAAUUUUUGGACAGACAGCAAUAUAUACAUAGGUAUUGUAAUAGUAUAGCAAUUAGUCUCCUUGUCUUAGGACAUCCAUGGACAAUGUUUGAUUGAUAGUUUAUCUAUAGUAGUAAUUUCAUUAUGGAUAAUCUCUCACUAUCAAAAAAUGAAUUAACAUGUUUUUCAGAUUAGAACAAACUUGUGCAGCCUUCUUAGGGCAUGAGAUUUCAUUAUACAGAUUACUGCUUUGUUUCAAGAUUAGACCUAUAUAUUCAUGUUUCAUUGCCUGUUAUCAUCUUUAUCACUAAAUAAGUGUCAUUUUAUGCUUCUUGAUUUUUAUGGAAUAUGUGCAUUUGAUUCUUUCCAUUUGUUCAUCAGAGAGCAUUCAUGGAAUAAAUUUUUCAGAAAUUCUUUACCUGUUCAGACCUUGUGACUAAAUGUAUUUCCAGGUAUAAUAGGAACAUGCCAUUUUUUUCGUAUAAAAUAUAAGCUGUUUACUUCUCUUGAUACUUGCACACUUACAUUUUUUGAACAUUUUCAUUUGUGGUUGUUGAUAUUUUGUCCAGAAUGCUGUUCGUUUUUCAUAGAAUUUUAAAACUUAGCUUGUAGAUUAGUGCUUAUUAUGAAUCAUUUUCACAAAAGAUUGUUCAUAUCAUUUGAUACCAAUUAAUCAGUUUUGUCAAGUAUAAAGCUGAAACUUUAUGCAAGCC
rnacentral:lncRNA from 1 species